rnacentral:misc_RNA from 1 species
CUUCAAUCACUACGUUGUGGAUGUUAUUCCCUGGAAACAAUCAAAAGUUAUGAUUUUCCAAUGUAGAGUGUUCAAGUUGAUCACCCUUACGCAUCGUGAAUUACAAGUAGUAAAGAUACAUGCUAAAAUUCAACUGAUUUUUCUUAGCCUGUCUCUACUGUAAUAUCAUGCUAAAAAGCUUAAACGAUUAGAGAGAACACACAUUUAUUUACCUAACUAUGUCUUGAUCAGCACAAGAACCGGAGUUUCUUACUUGACAAUGAGCUUGGCUCUAGCAUGACCUCUGUUUAUCUGAAAUUGCUCUGUGAUGCCAAGAUGUGCCAUAAGAAGCCAGACAUGAGUAAGAAGCUCUCCUCCUUUACGUAGCUGUUGAGCGUGAUGGUUCCCUCUGCAAUGUGUAGCAGCAUACGCAAGCAUUUCCACCCAUACUUCACUGAUGAUUUCCCAUUUUCUCUGAUUACCCUUUGCUUUCAAUGAUUUGGCAAGUAUGCACGCAUCAAACAACACGCUCUUGCUCCUAUCCCCUUUCACUUUUGCAGGUCCAACUUCAGUAUUCACUGUUAGCAACUUGCGACUAGCUAUAGUUAAGUCUUUUCCGACUUUCCUCUCUGUAAAAAACUCUUUGGCUUCAGCACAUGUGUCUCUAAAUCUGAUCAUCCCAAGUCCUAUUGGCAGCAUAAAGGGACACACUACUAAAAGAUACAACAUAUAAUCUGAUAACUGCUUGCUUUGUUUGGAUUCGAUGGAACGAGUACCACUACUAUCGUCAGUGUAAUAGCAUAGAUCAGUAGCAAUGUGCCAAAUAAGGAAACUUUGAUCAAAUUCUAACUCGGUCGACCAAACUAGGGAAGAACAGCCAUUUCCUUUAAGUGCUUCAGUGCCUCUACUUGUGCAUAAGACUGGAUGAUCAUGCUUGUUAUUACUUUCUCCGGCAAACUUUUUGAAAUGGUCAAAGAUCAGCUUUUUUAACCCUGGGGUGACUAGUUCAUCCUUCUUGUACUUGUGUUUUUCCAAGAGCUCAUUGAUUCGGAAGAGUUUUUGGAACCAGUAGCACCGUGGGGGCUUGAACUCAACACAGUAGCUCAACAAAUUGUAUUGCAGUGUGCCAUUGGACCACCUCAUAUUAGUUGAUCUUCGCAGACACAGCUUUUUGAGGAG